rnacentral:rRNA from 1 species
GAUGAACGCUGGCGGCGUGCCUAAUACAUGCAAGUCGAGCGAACAGAUAAGGAGCUUGCUCCUUUGACGUUAGCGGCGGACGGGUGAGUAACACGUGGGUAACCUACCUAUAAGACUGGGAUAACUUCGGGAAACCGGAGCUAAUACCGGAUAAUAUUUCGAACCGCAUGGUUCGAUAGUGAAAGAUGGUUUUGCUAUCACUUAUAGAUGGACCCGCGCCGUAUUAGCUAGUUGGUAAGGUAACGGCUUACCAAGGCGACGAUACGUAGCCGACCUGAGAGGGUGAUCGGCCACACUGGAACUGAGACACGGUCCAGACACCUACGGGAGGCAGCAGUAGGGAAUCUUCCCAAUGGGCGAAAGCCUGACGGAGCAACGCCGCGUGAGUGAUGAAGGUCUUCGGAUCGUAAAACUCUGUUAUUAGGGAAGAACAUACGUGUAAGUAACUGUGCACGUCUUGACGGUACCUAAUCAGAAAGCCACGGCUAACUACGUG